UAGCAAUACUGGCGCACGGCGCACGGGUGAGUAACACGUGGGCAACCUGCCCUACAGAGGGGGAUACCCCCGCGAAAGCGGGACUAAUACCGCAUGAUAUUCCGGUGGCUUCGGCUGCUGGACUCAAAGUCCGCAAGGACGCUGUUGGAGGGGCCCGCGCCCGAUUAGCUAGUUGGUGAGGUAACGGCUCACCAAGGCAAUGAUCGGUAGUCGGUCUGAGAGGAUGAUCGACCACACUGGAACUGAGACACGGUCCAGACUCCUACGGGAGGCAGCAGUGGGGAAUAUUGCGCAAUGGGCGAAAGCCUGACGCAGCGACGCCGCGUGGGGGAUGAAGCUUUUCGGAGUGUAAACCCCUUUCGAUCCGGACGAAUGUCCCGCAAGGGAUUGACGGUACGGGUAUAAGAAGCCCCGGCUAACUACGUGCCAGCAGCCGCGGUAAUACGUAGGGGGCCAGCGUUGCUCGGAAUUACUGGGCGUAAAGGGUUCGUAGGCGGUGUGGCAAGUCGGAAGUGAAACCUCCAGGCUUAACUUGGAGACUGCUCCCGAAACUGCCAUGCUAGAGUGCGGGAGAGGCCAGUGGAAUUGCAGGUGUAGCGGUGAAAUGCGUAGAUAUCUGCAGGAACACCCGUGGCGAAGGCGGCUGGCUGGACCGCAACUGACGCUGAGGAACGAAAGCUAGGGGAGCAAACAGGAUUAGAUACCCUGGUAGUCCUAGCCCUAAACGAUCAGGACUUGGGGUGCAUCCCGUUGGGGGUGCGUCCCGUAGCUAACGCGUUAAGUCCUGCGCCUGGGGAGUACGGUCGCAAGGCUGAAACUC
rnacentral:rRNA from 1 species